GAUGAACGCUGGCGGCGAGCCUAAUACAUGCAAGUCGAGCGAACAGACGAGGAGCUUGCUCCUCUGACGUUAGCGGCGGACGGGUGAGUAACACGUGGAUAACCUACCUAUAAGACUGGGAUAACUUCGGGAAACCGGAGCUAAUACCGGAUAAUAUAUUGAACCGCAUGGUUCAAUAGUGAAAGACGGUUUUGCUGUCACUUAUAGAUGGAUCCGCGCCGCAUUAGCUAGUUGGUAAGGUAACGGCUUACCAAGGCAACGAUGCGUAGCCGACCUGAGAGGGUGAUCGGCCACACUGGAACUGAGACACGGUCCAGACUCCUACGGGAGGCAGCAGUAGGGAAUCUUCCGCAAUGGGCGAAAGCCUGACGGAGCAACGCCGCGUGAGUGGUGAAGGUCUUCGGAUCGUAAAACUCUGUUAUUAGGGAAGAACAAAUGUGUAAGUAACUAUGCACGUCUUGACGGUACCUAAUCAGAAAGCCACGGCUAACUACGUG
rnacentral:rRNA from 1 species